rnacentral:rRNA from 1 species
GACGAACGCUGGCGGCGUGCCUAAUACAUGCAAGUAGAACGCUGAAGCGAGGAGCUUGCUCUUCUUGGAUGAGUCGCGAACGGGUGAGUAACGCGUAGGUAACCUGCCUUGUAGCGGGGGAUAACUAUUGGAAACGAUAGCUAAUACCGCAUAACAAUGGAUGACACAUGUCAUUUAUUUGAAAGGGGCAAUUGCUCCACUACAAGAUGGACCUGCGUUGUAUUAGCUAGUAGGUGAGGUAAUAGCUCACCUAGGCGACGUUACAGAGCCGACCUGAGAGGGCGGUUGGCCGCCCUGGGACUGUGACCCGGCCCAGACGCCCUCGGGUGGCAGCCGUAGGGAAUCGUCGGGCAUGGGGGCGACCCUGACCGAACAACGCCGCGGGCGGGAAGAAGGUUGUCGGGUCGUAAAGGUCGGUUUUAAGUCAAGAACGGGUGUGAGAGUGGAAAGUUCACACUGUGACGGUAGCUGACCAGAAAGCGACGGCUAACUACGUG